AGAAUUUACUCGGGAGCUGUUCCCAUGUGGUAGCUGUUAUUAAUGGAUUGAUUUUUCAGACAAUAGUACGGCUUCUUGCAGAAACCCAAACUCCAAGAACUUACUGUUUCAGCCAAAAGAAAUCUGUAAAAAAAUGUUUUCUUAAAAAAAAAAUUGUUUAUUUUUUAAAUGUGGAAAAUAGAUUUUUUUUUUUUUUCCUUCAAAGUAAAGCCCAAAAAACACCCUUUGGCUCAACUGUCAAAUCUCUGAAGACUGAAAGUUCAGGAAACCUUCCUUUGGACCCAGCUCCCUUCACUGCUGUCUGCCUUUAAGGGAAGCCACCUCAGGCACAAGGACUUUGUGCAUGGAGGCUAAUGAAGUACAGGAAGCCCUGCUCCCCUGGAGUCUUCAGGGACACAAUACUGUCUUCCCCUGGCAGUCAUACAUCAUGGGACAGCUUCCCAGAAAUCACAAGCAGAUUAAACAUUACAGGAUCUUUUCCCUUGCAAUGGCACAGAUUAAGGGUAACAGCACAAAGAGCAAGUGAAUGCAAAGCCUAUAGGAGAGGUCACAGAGCAUCUUGUGCCAGAUGGUGUUGUAGCUCUCCUGAAAGCUACCAGUAUUCUUGCUUUCCUCCUGACAUUUGAUGUUUAAGAGGGACCUCAGUCCAGUCUUCCUGGCCAGCAUCUCCAGUAUGACGGACCCAUGGUGAGCAGUGGGAGAUAUGGCCAUGUGAGAGGUAGGUGGACAUUUUGGCCCAUGGUGUCCAUUUUUCCCACCUGGUGGAUUCCAUGGCUUUCCUGAAUGCUUUGUGUGGUGAUUACAUGAGGUAAGCAAGGGCCUUAUUCACCACCAGCAAAGUCAAAGAAGGAGCCAGAAGAGACUCUGAGGACACAUGCUUUGCUUGUAUAGCUCACAUGCUGUGAUGAAGCCAGUAGAGUGAGGGGAUUUUACAUCUGCAGAGAUUUCUUUUUUCUGCUGAUACUUUCCUUCUUCCAGCACUGCAGUCUCAAAAAUCUUACGGAGAAUUCAGGGGGUUUCACCCCCAUCACCACUGUGAAGUCUAGGGGCUGUUAGGAACCAGGCUUUAACCUCUGGGGGAAAGACAGUCCAUAAGGAACGUGAAAAAUUGAAAAGCAAGAAAAAUCUUUAAGUAACUUUUAAAAACUUAUUCCCCAUUGACUACUCUGCUUCAGAACAUGGUGGCAGGAACCUGGACAUGCAUCUCCAGGAGCUCAGUGAGGGUCUGGUGCAGCCCCUCCCUGGGAGCAGUGAAGGAAAAGAACCAGCCUCCCUUUUCUGGUGUGUCUUGUUAAGAGGAAACCAUAAAUUAUCUGACCGGGUACCUGUGAUACACUCAGCUAUUUCCUCUCCACGCUGAGUUUCCUUACCAACAACUCUCAUUACUCAUGCUGGGCUGCUGGUAAGACAUCUGCUUUCUAACAUCCAAAAGGGAUUUGUUGUGCAGUGCUAAGGAAAGCUUCCUCUGCUGACUUUAGCUGGCUUAAUUAACAGUUUGCG
rnacentral:lncRNA from 1 species